CUGCCUAGUAGUGGGGAAUAACCAGUCGAAAGACUGGCUAAUGCCGCAUACGACCUUAUUUCGUAUUGGAAUUUGGUGAAAGCGGGGGAUCGCAAGACCUCGCGCUAAUAGAUGAGCCGAAGUCGGAUUAGCUGGUUGGUGAGGUAACGGCUCACCAAGGCGACAAUCCGUAGCUGGUCUGAGAGGACGACCAGCCACACUGGGACUGAGACACGGCCCAG
rnacentral:rRNA from 1 species